AAUGAAAACCACCCAAACCCACUCACACCCGCGUCUGGUCCCGCCGGCUCAGGGCUGUGCUUAGGUAGAGUCCGGCCAAAAACAACGCUCCGCGGGAGAUGCGCGUUGCCGGACCAAGCCAGCACUUGCUCCAAUUUAUUUUCUUUUAAAAAAUGUGCGUGUAAGGGAAGGGGGGAGGGUGGAAGAGAACAUUUAUCAGAGUACCAGAAGAUACCUUUCUUGAAACAAAGGCAAGGGGAAUCAUCUCAAUUGCAAAUCCAUCAGGCAGAGACCGAAUAACAAUAUUUAUAGGAAGGCAUUCAAAAAUACAAUGUGCUUAAAUAACAACAACAAAUGCUUACUACAGUUGCUACAGCGCAGCUUAAUAAAAAAUUAGCCUUACUGACAGUCUUGUCAACAUCUUAAGUAAAUUAUCAUAGCGAUGGUCUUUGGAGAAGAGAACCCACACUCCUUGCUAAAACACCUCCUAUCAUUAAUCUUAAACCACUUGAAGAUUAUGAUGGAAAGAAUGGGAUCAGUAACCAUUAUCAUCUCAAAUUGCUGUUAAAAACUCCGCUGUUUAUUUUUGCAACCAAAGCGAAUGUAUCUGGGAAAUGCAGAAAAGGGAAGAAAGGAAAACACAAGAAAGGCAGAACAAUUGAGGCGAAUCCUGUUGCAACCUCGAUGAUAAACACAUGGAAAAAGCUGUUACUGCUCUGUGGAUUGCUGGAAUUUGGGUAGACGUUAGAAAAAUAAACAAAGAGAUGGCUCCGCACCAGUUCUGUAAGCGCACCGGUACACUCAAGGAAAGGCAGCAAAAUACUGGUUUUAGAAGACUGCGAGCCGGUCUCCUGCACGGUGAUAUAAUUAAUUUAGGUGCGGGGAUCCCAGAUCCCAGGGAGAAGGGAAAUGACUGAUUUGGCCAGAAAAGGCUUCCCUGACGCAGGCGGCGAGGAGCCGCCACCCAAGGCAGGUAAGCUGCCGCCUCCAACUAUUUUUAACUGAACAAAAGACUGAGCAAACAUCUGACGUCAGGGAGCAGCAUCCCCGCGGGGGGGGGGCGGAGGGGAGCGGUGCGGGGCUGUCCCCCCCCCACUGCCCUCCCGCUGCCCAGCCCUGGGGUGGGGGGACACACACACAGACGACACCACACGACACCACACGACAGGACACGACAGGACACAGUCGUCCGCCGGCACCGUGUGUGUGUGUGCCGGGGGUGCCGGGGAGGUGACAAAGAGCAGGUAGGGCGCCCGCUGGGGAAGGUCGGCGGCGCUGAAGCUCCUGCUGAAGCUGGUCUGGAACUUCUGCCUGUCUCCUGACAAAGCGGAGGUUGCUUCUUCCCCCCCCGGGGAGGUUGCUGUGUGUACCUGCGGGCGCGGGGGCCGUGCGGGGACAGCCCCGCGGUGGGCUGGGGGUGACACCCCCCCCAGAGCCUCCCGCAUCGCCCCGCACCCAACUUCUGGCCCCGACGGGAGCGUGAACCAAGACGGGAGUCAGCGUGAAGUUCCGCCGUCCGGGGGAGCGCUGGGCUGCCCUGACCGGGGCGGGGGGGUGUGUGUGUGGGGUGUGUGUGUGUGAAGGCGACCGGCCACCCUUCCAUGCCCCCCUGCUCCCUGCAACAGAGGAGGGGUCCUCCGCGUCCCC
rnacentral:lncRNA from 1 species